rnacentral:rRNA from 1 species
ACGGGAGGCAGCAGUGGGGAAUAUUGGGCAAUGGGCGCAAGCCUGACCCAGCAAUGCCGCGUGAAGGAAGAAGGCUUUCGGGUUGUAAACUUCUUUUAAGUGGGACGAUAAUGACGGUACCACUUGAAUAAGCUCCGGCUAACUACGUGCCAGCAGCCGCGGUAAUACGUAGGGAGCGAGCGUUAUCCGGAUUUACUGGGUGUAAAGGGCGUGUAGGCGGGACAGCAAGUCAGAUGUGAAAUCCAUGGGCUCAACCCAUGAACUGCAUUUGAAACUGUUUCUCUUGAGUGCUGGAGAGGUAGAUGGAAUUCCUAGUGUAGCGGUGAAAUGCGUAGAUAUUAGGAAGAACACCAGUGGCGAAGGCGAUCUACUGGACAGUAACUGACGCUGAGGCGCGAAAGCGUGGGGAGCAAACAGGAUUAGAUACCCUGGUA